rnacentral:rRNA from 1 species
CCUACGGGAGGCAGCAGUGGGGAAUAUUGGGCAAUGGACGCAACUCUUACCCAGCCAUGCCGCGUGAAUGAAGAAGGUCUUCGGAUUGUAAAGUUCUUUAAUUGGGGACGAAAAAAAUGACGGUACCCAAGGAAUAAGCUCCGGCUAACUACGUGCCAGCGGCCCCGGCAAUACGUAGGGGGCAAGCGUUGUUCGGAAUGACUGGGCGUAAAGGGUGUGUAGGCGGUGUAGCAAGCUCGAAGUGAAAUACCUAGGGCUUAACUCAGGUGCUGCUUCUAAAACUGCGAUACUUGAGUGCAGGAGAGGAAAGUGGAAUUCCUAGUGUAGCGGUGGAAUGCGUAGAUAUUAGGAGGAACAUCAGUGGCGAAGGCGACUUUCUGGACUGUAACUGACGCUGAGGCACGAAAGUGUGGGGAGCAAACAGGAUUAGAUACCCCAGUAGUC